ensembl:lncRNA
CUGUUACAUCUACUCUGCCUGCAAAUGCAUGGAGAUUUAAAUCAUUAAUUGAACUCCUGCUCUGGGAAUGAAGGGGAUCAGCUAAACAUUAUUGUGCUGAAGGAGAAUGAGUUCUUUGCUGGGCCUACAGUGCCAUCUACAGCACCAAGCUUGCAGCUGAAAAUAGGGAUUUUCAAAGGAAAAUGCACUGAAAACAACCAAAAAGCCUCUCAAUUCCUAUUGGCUUUUGGGCCAAAAGUCUGACUCAGAACUGUCACUGACACAUUUAAAACAUCAUCUCAGGAGCUGGGUGUUUUGAGUAAGCUGAGAGCAUAGAGAGGCCAUGGUUCUUUUGGU